rnacentral:rRNA from 1 species
CCUACGGGAGGCUGCAGUGAGGAAUAUUGGUCAAUGGUCGGGAGACUGAACCAGCCAAGCCGCGUGAGGGAUGAAGGUACAGAGUAUCGUAAACCUCUUUUGUCAGGGAACAAAGGCGGGGACGUGUCCCCGGAUGAGUGUACCUGACGAAAAAGCAUCGGCUAACUCCGUGCCAGCAGCCGCGGUAAUACAGAGGAUGCGAGCGUUAUCCGGAUUUAUUGGGUUUAAAGGGUGCGCAGGCGGUCUGUUAAGUCAGCGGUAAAAGCCCGGGGCUCAACCCCGGCCCGCCGUUGAAACUGGCAGUCUCGAGUUGGAGAGAAGUAGGCGGAAUGCGCGGUGUAGCGGUGAAAUGCAUAGAUAUCGCGCAGAACUCCGAUUGCGAAGGCAGCAUGCCGGAUCCACACUGACGCUGAGGCACGAAAGCGUGGGUAUCGAACAGGAUUAGAUACCCGAGUAGUC